rnacentral:rRNA from 1 species
UACGUAGGGUGCAGGCGUUAAUCGGAAUUACUGGGCGUAAAGCGUGCGCAGGCGGUUUCUUAAGUCAGAUGUGAAAGCCCCGGGCUUAACCUGGGAACUGCGUUUGAAACUGGGAGACUAGAGUGUGGCAGAGGGGGGUGGGAUUCCACGUGUAGCAGUGAAAUGCGUAGAUAUGUGGAGGAACACCGAUGGCGAAGGCAACCCCCUGGGUUAACACUGACGCUCAUGCACGAAAGCGUGGGGAGCAAACAGG